rnacentral:rRNA from 1 species
AUUGAACGCUGGCGGCAUGCUUUACACAUGCAAGUCGAACGGCAGCAUGGGCUUCGGCCUGAUGGCGAGUGGCGAACGGGUGAGUAAUGCAUCGGAACGUGCCCAGUCGUGGGGGAUAACGUAGCGAAAGUUACGCUAAUACCGCAUACGACCUGAGGGUGAAAGUGGGGGACCGCAAGGCCUCACGCGAUUGGAGCGGCCGAUGUCAGAUUAGCUAGUUGGUGGGGUAAAGGCUCACCAAGGCGACGAUCUGUAGCGGGUCUGAGAGGAUGAUCCGCCACACUGGGACUGAGACACGGCCCAGACUCCUACGGGAGGCAGCAGUGGGGAAUUUUGGACAAUGGGGGCAACCCUGAUCCAGCCAUGCCGCGUGCGGGAAGAAGGCCUUCGGGUUGUAAACCGCUUUCAGACGGAAAGAAAUCGCACGGGUCAAUACCCUGUGUGGAUGACGGUACCGUAAGAAGAAGCACCGGCUAACUACGUGCCAGCCGCCGCAGUAACAC